rnacentral:rRNA from 1 species
GCAAGUCUGGUGCCAGCAGCCGCGGUAAUUCCAGCUCCAAUAGCGUAUAUUAAAGUUGUCGCAGUUAAAAAGCUCGUAGUUGAACCUCGGGAUCAAUGGAUCGGUCAUGCCAUCGGUAUGUACUGGUCUCAUUGGUUCUCACCUUCUAAGGAACCAUGAUGUCAUUCAGUUGAUGUUGUGGGGAAUUAGGACUGUUACCUUGAAAAAAUUAGAGUGUUUAAAGCAGGCUAACGCUUGAAUACAUUAGCAUGGAAUAAUGAAAUAGGACAUCGCAUUCUAUUUUGUUGGUUUCUAGGAUCGAUGUAAUGAUUAAUAGGGAUAGUUGGGGGCAUUAGUAUUCAAUUGUCAGAGGUGAAAUUCUUGGAUUUAUUGAAGACUAACUACUGCGAAAGCAUUUGCCAGGGAUGUUUUCAUUAAUCAAGAACGAAAGUUAGGGGAUCGAAAACGAUCAGAUACCGUUGUAGUCUUAACAGUAAACUAUGCCGACUAGGGAUCGGACGACCUCAAUAUUAUGCGUCGUUCGGCGCCUUACGGGAAAC